UACGGGGGGGGCAAGCGUUGUUCGGAAUUACUGGGCGUAAAGGGCUCGUAGGUGGCCAACUAAGUCAGACGUGAAAUCCCUCAGCUUAACUGGGGAACUGCGUCUGAUACUGGAUGGCUUGAGUUUGGGAGAGGGAUGCGGAAUUCCAGGUGUAGCGGUGAAAUGCGUAGAUAUCUGGAGGAACACCGGUGGCGAAGGCGGCUCACUGGACUGGUAUUGACGCUGAGGUGCGAAAGCGUGGGGAGCAAACAGG
rnacentral:rRNA from 1 species